rnacentral:pre_miRNA from 1 species
GUCUGGGCGCAGUGGUUUAUCGAUCCCUUCCUUGCCUUGUGCUGAUCCGGGAGUGGUGGUUUCAAGUGUUUCUUGUUGCAGACAACGCGGGAAUCGGUCGAUAAACCUCUGCAUCCAGC